UACCUGCGCCCUAAGUGGUAUCCAGUACUAUUGGGCCUAAAGCGUCCGUAGCCGGUUUGGCAAGUCUUCGUUGAAAUUCACUAGUAAACUAGUGAGCUUGUCGGAGAUACUGCCAGACUUGGGACCGGGAGAGGGUAGGGGUACUCCUAGGGGAGGGGUAAAAUCCUAUAAUCCUAGGGGGACCACCGGUGGCGAAGGCGCCUACCUAGAACGGUUCCGACGGUGAGGAACGAAAGCUAGGGGAGCGCUCGCG
rnacentral:rRNA from 1 species